rnacentral:lncRNA from 1 species
AACCAUGUCCAUAAACAUCCACUAUCAACCCAAUUGGUCUAUUUACCAUCCAAGUCGCUUAGAUUAAAAUUUCAUAGCUAUUUGAUGCAUUUAACUAAUAGAACUCUACUUUUUUACUUUUUACGAUCUAAUCCUUUUCACUUAAUUAAUCAUGCAAAUGUUAAAAUUUCUUAAUGAAAUUUUAAUACAACCUUAUUAACGUCCUAUAGACAUUAAAAUAAUAAUAAAAUAAUAAUUUACUCAUCGGAUUUG